rnacentral:rRNA from 1 species
GUGGGGAAUUUUGGACAAUGGGCGCAAGCCUGAUCCAGCAAUGCCGCGUGCAGGAUGAAGGCCUUCGGGUUGUAAACUGCUUUUGUACGGAACGAAACGGUCCUGGUUAAUACCUGGGGCUAAUGACGGUACCGUAAGAAUAAGCACCGGCUAACUACGUGCCAGCAGCCGCGGUAAUACGUAGGGUGCGAGCGUUAAUCGGAAUUACUGGGCGUAAAGCGUGCGCAGGCGGUGCUGUAAGACAGGCGUGAAAUCCCCGGGCUCAACCUGGGAAUUGCGCUUGUGACUGCAGUGCUGGAGUACGGCAGAGGGGGAUGGAAUUCCGCGUGUAACAGUGAAAUGCGUAGAUAUGCGGAGGAACACCGAUGGCGAAGGCAGUCCCCUGGGCCUGUACUGACGCUCAUGCACGAAAGCGUGGGGAGCAAACAGGAUUAGAAACCCUAGUAGUCC